CAUCUGAAAGACUUUUGUAGUGGCAGCCACUUUAUGAGUCAGUGGAAGUUUCAUUAAACGUGUAAAUUUCAAAAGGACGAGCUGUGUGAUCUGUGAGAGGUGGUGCAGCGAUGGCAGCAGGAGGUGCAGGAGCAGAAGGAGAGCCGGGUAAAGGAGGUGCAGGCCCUUAAGGAAGAGCUGCAGAGCACACAAAGUUGUCUGCAGCAGCACAGAGAUACAGCCCACAGACAGCAGAGAGACACGGAGGAUGAGGAUACAGAGUUGAUUCAACUAAAGGCAGGUCUGCUGGAGGCUGAGAAACUAGACACAGAGGCACGACUGCAACCUCUUACCGAAUCCCUAGAGCUCUGCCAACACAAGUACCAGGCCUGCCUCAGCAAGAUCACACAACAAGAGAACACUCUGCAUAGCCACGAGGAGGACCUGAAAGAGGCCCACAAUCAGGUGGCAAAGAGGGAAGAGCAGGUCCUCCGUCUGAGGGCUCAGGUUGUAGCUCAGCAGGUACACUGCGCCCAGCUGGAGAGUGGAGACGAUGCCCUCACCGCUCUGAGCCAGCAGCUCCGAGACACGCUGGGAGAACUGGAGCACAGUCGUAAACACAGCCAGGAGUGUGAGCUGCUCAUCAGCACUCUCAGAGACACUGCUGCUACCCGUCUCUGACAGAGGUGCAGCGACUGCAGGAGCAGGUGAGAAAGCUCCAGGUGGAUGCAGCAGAUGAGGGCUGGAGACAAGCACAAGUUGAUUCUCUGGAACAGAAGGUAGCUAGUCUGGAAGGAGAACUACUGGCAGCUCAAAGGCAGUGUGACCAGGCUAUCCAAAAGAGAGACGCCCUACUUAGACAAUCCGAGGCUGAUCUUCUGCAGGCGUGGGAGAAGAUCCGAAGCAAGGCGGCGGAGGCAGAGAGACAGGCCGUCUCUGCUCGAGGGCUAGAAGCUGAUCUGUAGAAACCCAAGAAAGAGAAAAGGCGAAGGGAGAAAGAGUGCGCCUCACUCAAAACACAGAUGCUUCAGCUCAGAGAACAACUGAAGGAGGCUUACACCACCCGUAGAGACAUGGUCUCCUGUCUGAAAUGAAACAGCCCAUCAAUUCAGAGCCUCAAGACAUCAGCUGCAUGCACAUCUUCACACACACCACUGUGGGAAUGAUGCUCGUUAGAAACAAUAUCCUCAGCACAGAUGAAGACGGGCAGAUGUGGCCAAGGUAUAACCUGGAAAGGGA
ensembl:lncRNA